rnacentral:rRNA from 1 species
CCUACGGGUGGCAGCAGUAGGGAAUUUUCCACAAUGGGCGAAAGCCUGAUGGAGCAACGCCGCGUGCAGGAUGAAUGCCUUCGGGUUGUAAACUGCUUUUAUAUGUGACGAUUAUGACGGUAGCAUAUGAAUAAGGACCUGCUAACUACGUGCCAGCAGCCGCGGUCAUACGUAGGGUCCAAGCGUUAUCCGGAAUUACUGGGCGUAAAGAGUUGCGUAGGUGGCAUGUAAAGCAGAUAGUGAAAGCGUGUGGCUCAACCAUACAUCCAUUAUCUGAACUCACAAGCUAGAGGACGAGAGAGGUAGAUGGAAUUCCUGAUGUAGGGGUAAUAUCCGUAGAUAUCAGGAGGAACACCGAUGGCGUAGGCAGUCUACUGGCUCGUUCCUGACACUAAGGCACGAAAGCGUGGGGAGCAAACGGGAUUAGAUACCCUGGUAGU